rnacentral:rRNA from 1 species
GGAGCCUGCGGUUUAAUCCGGUACUCAACGCCGGGAAACUCACCAGAUAAGACAGCUGAAUGAUAGUCGGGCUGAAGACUCUACUUGACUAGCUGAGAGGAGGUGCAUGGCCGUCGUCAGUUCGUACUGUGAAGCAUCCUGUUAAGUCAGGCAACGAGCGAGACCCACGCCAACAGUUGCCAGCUCGUCCUCCGGGAUGGUGGGGACACUGUUGGGACCGCUCUGCUAAAGAGGAGGAAGGAAUGGGCAACGGUAGGUCAGCAUGCCCCGAAUUAUCUGGGCUACACGCGGGCUACAAUGGGUGGGACAAUGGGUAUCGACACCGAAAGGUGAAGGCAAUCUCCUAAACCCAUCCGUAGUUCGGAUUGUGGGCUGCAACUCGCCCACAUGAAGCUGGAAUCUGUAGUAAUCGUGUCUCAAAAUGGCACGGUGAAUAUGUCCCUGCUCCUU